rnacentral:rRNA from 1 species
UCUUGCGCAUGGGCGAAAGCCUGNGCAGCGACGCCGCGUGGGGGAUGAAGCUUCUCGGAGUGUAAACCCCUUUCGACCCGGACGAAACGCCCGCAAGGGCUUGACGGUACGGGUAUAAGAAGCCCCGGCUAACUACGUGCCAGCAGCCGCGGUAAGACGUAGGGGGCCAGCGUUGCUCGGAAUUACNUGGGCGUAAAGGGUUCGUAGGCGGUGCGGCAAGUCGGGAGUGAAAUCUCUGGGCUUAACCCAGAGGCUGCUUCCGAAACUGCCGUGCUAGAGUGCGGGAGAGGCGAGUGGAAUUGCAGGUGUAGCGGUGAAAUGCGUAGAUAUCUGCAGGAACACCCGUGGCGAAGGCGGCUCGCUGGACCGCAACUGACGCUGAGGAACGAAAGCUAGGGGAGCAAACAGGAUUAGAUACCCUGGUAGUCCUAGCCCUAAACCAUCAGGACUUGGGGUGCAUCCCGUUCGGGGUGCGUCCCGUAGCUAACGCGUUAAGUCCUGCGCCUGGGGAGUACGGUCGCAAGGCUGAAACUCAAAGAAAUUGACGGA